rnacentral:lncRNA from 1 species
UAUCACGAUAACGAAGUUGGUCCACCCUUGCCUGUAGGGUGUCAAUUACUCCACAAGCCAGGUAUCUGGCUGGGUACAGCUGAGCCUGGAGUCCCUUCCUGUUAGAGCGCCCUGAGCAACAUAUAUCAUACUCUUCUUAUCCAGAUGAAAUUGCACUUAGAGCACCAAAGGCAGCCUGAAAGAACACAAAUCUGAAAGGGGCAACCAAAAGCGGUGUUUCUCUAGCUGUACAGGAACAGUAUUAGAGGUGUGGGUGGUGAUAACAGCAACAAUAAAGUAAUAAUUAUACUUAGCUGCAAUUGACCAUGUUUUAUUGCUGAAUUGUCACAACAGCCCUGACCAAGUAGUUAUUAUUGCCCUCCCUUACAGAACAAUGACCCAAAAAAUUACCCAAGAUCAGACUAGUGAGUAGAACCAGUAUAGAAACCUAGUUAUCUGCGUAUUCCAUCCUCUGGGCAGCACACUACUGCCAUCUCCUUUAUCUUAAAUGUGUGUGGGAGUGAGAGAGCUAACGUUACGUGUGGCUUUAAAUUUUUGAGCCCCAGUCCCUGGAACUAACCCAUCUACUUUCCUUGAAUCUCUUCCUAGACAGGCCCCCUGAGCCAGACAGGAAAUCCACUGGUAUUUAAAAAGAUAGGUUGUGUGCAUGGUACAUGACAGGCUAGCAGUAACUCCCUUCAUCCUGAUUUUCCACCCUCUUUCUGGGUACCUCAGUGUCCUCUUGUUGUAAAAGUCAUUAGGUAUGUUUAAAAUCCGAAUGCGAUGUGUAUCUGAAUAAAGACGCUUAUUCUCUCCUACCAGUUACUCUUCAUUUUUAUGUGUCAGAAAGCGUUCCUUGCAUAAACAGGUGUUAUUUCCAUGUACUUUUGCUCAGGUUCUUUGGAUACCAUGAUCUUAGCUAUCUGCAAAGCUGACCAGGGCUAGAACUCCAUUUUACCACCUCUGACAUCCACUCUUUGCCGAUAGAGAAACUUGCUUCAGGACAAGAUCUAGCUUGGAGCAGGUCGUAGCAGAGGACAGACAUUUUACAAUGUACAGAGAUUAUUGUUACGUCCACAUUAUUAUUUUUGGCACUAGGAAACAUGAGGACCAGUGAUGAAAUGUCUGGGGAAGAGGUUUCAGUCAACUGUCACUAUCUUCGGCAUCCACCCAAGAGUGAUCUAACCUUUGCAAAGCCUUCACUGAUUCGGGAACCUCAAAUGCGUUUUCAUUGUUAGGUUGCACCGUUAAUUCUCUGUUGCAUUACCUAUCCUGUUUAAAAAAAUAAAACAAUCUAAGAAGGCAGAUAAUGUUUAAUGGAAAAGGGCAGCGAUGGACUAAUGGUUGCCUAGCAACCACUAGACAUUGUUUUGCUGCUUCACUCUAGAGAAGCCAAAAUGGCGGCUGUAAUCCUUCUCUGGCCCCCUGGACAGUGAUAUGAGCCCCAUGAAGAUCCAGCCGCUUUGUUCAGCGUGGCAUCCUCAGUGCCUGCUGUAGUGCCAGACACAUCACAAGCCUUCAAUGCAUUUAUUGAAAUAAUGAGAAAAGGAAAUGCAGGAAGAGGGAUCCAUUUCUUCCAGAUUCUGUUAUCUGACCUUAACCUUGGAAAAUCCUCUAGUGCCAUCCUGGCAGUUAAGGCCCUUGAGCAGCCGUCACUGCCACAGGCUACGGAGGUAAAGGAAGCAGCAAAACAAAUCUUGAAAAAGGCAGCUUGCUCCUGAUGGAGCUGCAUGAGUUACAAGGUUUUUAACUGCAAGAAUUGUUGGAGCCACUUCUGGUAAUAUAUGAAUUUCAUAAAAAUGUUUUCCAAGGUGCACAGAAACAUCUGAGGACUUUAAUUAAGCCCUCCACCAUCGGGAAUGGAACUUUUAUGUACAUGGACUUUGGAUUUUCUUUUUCUCUUUUUGAGCACUGCUGGCAAGGAAGCAAGUACCAAGCGAGGAUUCCAAUUGAGUUCUUUGACACGGAACCUUUCUUUUCCUUUUUUGGAAAAUGGAAGUAAUGUACUAGUACAGGCAGUCUGUUUGGGAAUAUGAGCGUUUAUAUUAAUGGCAUUAAACUCAGUAUUUAUACCACAAGG